UACGUAGGGGGCAAGCGUUAUCCGGAUUUACUGGGUGUAAAGGGAGCGUAGACGGCCAUUCAAGCCAGAUGUGAAAGCCCGGGGCUCAACCCCGGGACUGCAUUUGGAACUGUAUGGCUGGAGUGUCGGAGAGGCAGGCGGAAUUCCUAGUGUAGCGGUGAAAUGCGUAGAUAUUAGGAGGAACACCAGUGGCGAAGGCGGCUUACUGGACUGUAACUGACGUUGAGGCUCGAAAGCGUGGGGAGCAAACAGG
rnacentral:rRNA from 1 species